rnacentral:rRNA from 1 species
CAGCGCCACGAGUAGCAACCACGUUUAUUGGGCCUAAAGCGUUCGUAGCCGGUCUGAUAAAUCUUCUGUGAAAUUGUCUGGCUUAACCAAACAACGUGCAGGAGAAACUGUCAGACUUGAGACCGGGAGGUGCUAGAGGUAUUCAUGGGGGAGCGGUAAAAUGUGAUAAUCCUUUGAAGACCACCUGUGGCGAAGGCGUCUAGCAAGAACGGAUCUGACGGUGAGGGACGAAAGCCAGGGUAGCGAUCCGGAUUAGAUACCCGAGUAGUCC